AUGUUAAAAAUGCUUAAGAGACCUUUUACAGUGUCCAUGUAUGUAACAAUUGAUUUCUUUGUUUCAAUUAGGAUAUUCACCUUUGAGAUCAAGGAGCCAGACUUGGGGUAGGAUACAGCUACGUUAGCAGACGCCACCGUGAUAUGCCUACAACAAAGUACAUCAAGAAGUUAACACGUUCGCUACUGCAAUAGUACGAAAUUUUCCAUUCACAUGGACCAGCGACGCACAUAUGCGACGGCCGGAUUCCACCCAUAGACUGCCGUCGCAUAUAUGCGACGGCUAGUCACAUUUAAACGGACUGCCGACGCAUAUUUGCGUCGGGGUUCUAAUGUUAUUAAAAUGCUUAUAUCUUUGUAGUGGUCUAUUUGAAGGCACUGAAUUCCCAGCAGUGGUCUACAGAGAUGUCUGACGCACAACUGCGUCGCUUGGUCUGUGGAUAUGAUGAUUGGUGACGUCAUAUAAUAGUUGGAAAAACUGGUCUUUACUUCUCUGCAUCACUGUAUGUAUGAAUGCAGAUACUGUAUCAAACGUUUGCUACUCACCUGGCACCAAAGUGCUGAAGGAGAUGGACGUAGUGAAGGCUACAGUUGCGUUGAUUGACAGACACCACAGUGAUAUGCCUGCAACAAAUGCACUUCAAGAGGUUAUCAAACAUAGGAUAUUCACCUGCGACUUAAGUGUUGGAGGAGGUUGACGUAGUGCAGGCUACAGUUGCGUUACUUCCCUCAAUAAACUUUUGCUACGAUUGACUGUCACCUCAGUGAUAUGACUGCAACAAGGAAUGUCAAAAUGUUAGACGUUAUCAAACAUAGGAUAUUCACCUGCGACUUAAGUGUUGGAGGAGGUUGACGUAGUGCAGGCUACAGUUGCGUUACUUCCCUCAAUAAACUUUUGCUACGAUUGACUGUCACCUCAGUGAUAUGACUGCAACAAGGAAUGUCAAAAUGUUAGACGUUAUCAAACAUAGGAUAUUCACCUGCGACUUAAGUGUUGGAGGAGGUUGACGUAGUGCAGGCUACAGUUGCGUUACUUCCCUCAAUAAACUUUUGCUACGAUUGACUGUCACCUCAGUGAUAUGACUGCAACAAGGAAUGUCAAAAUGUUAGACGUACAACAUACUUACUAUUAAAUAAUUAUACUACUAUUAAUGCUAUUACUUUAAUUCAAAUGGCUCU